ACCUGAGUUUACCCUAUCAACUAGGUCAAGGCAGUUUUCUUUAUUCAACCAAUGAAAUCAACAGAAAUACAGAAGGACCUCCUACACCAACUGCUGCCUUGUAUUCUGUUUCAUCGUCUUGCCAGCUUCUGGUGAAGACGCUUUCUGCAAAUGUUUUUGAAACGAGUUUGCUUUGAUGAGGAUCUCCAGAGUGGUCCACAGCAAGGCCACUGAGGGCCCAGCAGACCGCUGACCCUCAACAACCUGAGACUUCCCAACGAACUAGAAAGGACGAGAUCACCAGCGUCCUCCACAAGGGAAAUGUGGUAAUCAGUGGAGAGUGUGAAGUGAGAGAUGCAGCCCACGAGGCCUCGCAUGUACUGUCUGUUCGUGUGCAGAGCGAUUUCCUUCAUUCCACCUGCAGGGGACCACGAUGGAGGAGAGAAUGAGCGGAUUAUUAGCCAUUUAUAGGAAUUCUACUCAUUCUAUUCUGAGCGAGGACACAGAGCCGGAUCCUCCUUCCUUAGAGAGAACUCAUGUGGGCUAUAUUUAGAAAGUUCCUAUUCUAUAAACAAGAAAAGCAUGGUUUUCCUGGUGGAUGACUUCAGAGCACAGAGGCAAAGUGAGCGAGUCCCUUCCUGUAUUCUCAGCCGUGAGUCAGAAGUUCAGAACAUGGAAGAAUGGACUCUUUGGACAGCUUCCUGAUUUCCAGCACCUUUUGAGGUUCUAAGGCAAGCACCAUGGUGAGGGCAGGAGGCUCAAGAAGGAUGAUCUCAACACAGCCUACGUGGAAGCAGAAGAGGAGGCUGACAAUGCUGAGCGCCCAUGGUCCCCAGGCCUCACACUGGCCAUCGCCCGCUGAUUCCACAGCAAGAGUUACAGUACUUUUUUUCAGGGAACUGCAAUCAGAAUCUCUGUCCAGCUUCUUUCCUCUUUAGACUCGUUUAACACAUGCUAUUAACAUUGCUGAUGUGGACUUGCUCUCUGAUUUCUAAAAACACAUUGUUAGGAAUAAGGACACAUGCAGCAAAGCUUGGCAUAAUCUGCCUGAAGUUAAUCAAAAGUCAGCUUGGCAAUUAGCACUAGGAGGGCGUGGUUAUGUGAUGAGGGCUAGGUGAACAUGCAUGAUUUCUAAAGCUCAGAUAACAUCCUUUUAAAGGGGGAGGAUUGCUUAUGCAAGGACACUCAGAGCAUCCUUUAAUGUCUUCAUGCCCCCCUAAUUUUCAUCUCGUGGGGUUUUAAGGCCCCACUCCAUCUUAGACACUAAAAAGUGUGUUCAGCAUAUAAGAACAGAUGCUAGCAAGGAUAUGGACCAAAAGGAACUCUCAGAGCUUGCCUGUAAGAAUGCGAACUAGUUCAACCACUAUGGAAAUUAAUAAGGAUAUCCCUUAAUAAAUCUAGGGAUCCAACUGUACAACUCUUGGGAAAACCCCAAGGACUCCAACCCUACACGUCACAGGGAUGCUCACGCAUUAAUGUCUGCUGCAGUACUGUUAAUAAGAGCUAAGCUACAGAAGCAACCUCGGCACUCAGUAACCAAAGAACUUUUAGCAAAUGUGUGAUUUUUUUUUCAGUCAUAAAGAAAGAACAAAAGUGGCGUUGCUCAGGAAAAUAAAUGCUCCUGGAGAUUAUCAUAUUAAUCAAAUCAAACUUGUCUCAAAAAGACAAAUGUCAUGUCUUUUCUCUUUUGUGAUCUCUAUUUGUAGACAGAUAAAAUCACAUGUGUACCUGUGACAUGGAAGUAGAGAUGAAAUUGUCCAAGGGACCAAAGAGAAGGCCAAGGGAAGGGGUAGAGGAGAUUGACAUAUGGCAGGGAUGAACUUGGCAUACAUUAUAUACUUGCAUGAAAAUGUUCUUAUGUAGUACAAUGCGGUGUGAAUUAAUACACACACAAUACAAUUUGUUUUCUCCGGGCUAUCUCCUUCUACUCAGAGCAGAUACUGGGGUUCAGUUUCUGCCCAUUGGUGUCAGUAGAUGGGUGGAUAUUGGUAGCAAUAUGAGGAUGCCAGGUAAAGCUGGGUUAGAGGGUAGUAGGACAGAAAGGAAGCUGGGUACACAUCCACCCUCUUGUAGCCCGGC